UCCCUGGUAGCUCAGAUGGUAAAGUGUCUGCCUGCAACACAGAAGACCCAGGUUUGAUCCCUGGGUCGGGAA
rnacentral:tRNA from 1 species